CCUACGGGAGGCAGCAGUGGGGAAUAUUGCGCAAUGGGGGAAACCCUGACGCAGCAACGCCGCGUGAGUGAGGAAGGACUUCGGUCUGUAAAGCUCUGUUAAUGUGGAAAAAUGGUAGUUGGUCUAAUAGGCCGAUUAUUUGAUGGUACACAUAGAGGAAGCACCGGCUAACUUCGUGCCAGCAGCCGCGGUAAUACGAAGGGUGCAAGCGUUGUUCGGAUUUAUUGGGCGUAAAGCGCGCGUAGGCGGACCUGCAAGUCAGAUGUGAAAUCUCGGGGCUCAACCUCGAAACUGCGUCUGAAACUACAGGUCUAGAAUCUUGGAGGGGGAAGGGGAAUUUCUCAUGUAGGGGUAAAAUCCGUAGAUAUGAGAAGGAACACCAGAGGCGAAGGCGCCUUCCUGGACAAGUAUUGACGCUGAGGCGCGAAAGCGUGGGGAUCAAACAGGAUUAGAUACCCUGGUAGUCCACGCUGUAAACGAUGAAUACUAGAUAUUGCAGGAUUUGACCCCAGCAGUGUCGUAGCUAACGCGUUAAGUAUUCCGCCUGGGAAGUACGGUCGCAAGCUAAAACUCAAAUGAAUUGACGG
rnacentral:rRNA from 1 species